GCCUCCACGCGACCUUCUAUCCUGACUACUGGUAAGGGACGAGCGAGACGACACGACACGACGUUCUCUCUCUCUCGCCUCAAACCCUAGCUCCCAGUAAUACACCAAACUCCAAAUAAAAACUUGAAUUGAAAUCCCUCCGUCUCUGCAAUGGCGAAGAAGCGAAAGCAGCGUUCUUCUGAGCCCGCACCAAUCGAAACCCCUGAGCCUCAACUUCAAAAUGAUCAAUUCCAGCCUCCUGAACCAAUUGUGGAAGAGGAGACAGAAUACCAUCAAAACAAUGCCACAGAAGACGAUACAGGAGAACAACAGCAAGAGCCACAAGAAAUAGAGGAGGACGAGGAACAAGAAGAGCUCGAACAACAGGAAGUGGAAGAAGAGGAAGAAGAAGAGGAAGGAGAAGGAGAAGGAGAAGGAGAAGAAAAUGAAGAGAAUGACCCUGAAACCCUAGAACCUUCAUCAAGCAACGCCGCUCAAUUGGACUUACCGAAAGCUGAAGCAAAUGGAGGCAAUGAAGUUACUGCUGAUGUUAAUGGAAAUGAAGGAAACAAAGAAGAAGAAGACGUAGAUGACGAACCUCUAGAGAAGCUUCUAGAGCCUUUUGGAAAAGACCAGUUGGUUGUUCUAUUGAGAAAGGCAGUGGAUAAGUAUUCUGAUUUGAUGGAUUCUGUGCGUGAAAUUGCAGAUGCUGACCCCGCACACCGCAAGAUAUUUGUGCAUGGUCUUGGUUGGGAUACGACUGCGGAAACCCUUAAAUCUGAAUUUGGGAAAUAUGGGGAAAUUGAGGAUUGCAAGGCUGUCACUGACCGCGUCUCUGGAAAAUCCAAGGGUUAUGCCUUUAUAUUGUUCAAGCAUCGGGUUGGGGCACGAAAGGCGCUCAAGGAACCACAGAAGAAGAUAGGGAAUAGGAUUACGUCUUGUCAACUUGCCACCGCAGGGCCUGUGCCAGCCCCGCCGCCAACUGCGCCACAAGUUUCUGAGUAUACCCAGAGGAAGAUUUUUGUGAGCAACGUGUCAGCUGAUUUGGAUCCCGAGAAGCUACUGCAGUAUUUUAAGCAAUUUGGGGAGGUUGAAGAAGGUCCACUAGGACUCGAUAAACAGACUGGGAAACCUAAGGGAUUCGCGUUGUUUGUGUAUAAGUCUGUUGAGAGUGCAAAAAGGGCACUUGAAGAGCCUCACAAGAAGUUUGAUGGUCAUACCCUGCAUUGCCAGAGGGCAAUAGAUGGGCCAAAACCGAAUAAGAUGGGCUAUGGUGGUGCAGGUCAGCAUCAGCAUCAGCAUCACCAUAACCAUAACCAUAAUCAGCCACAUUAUCACCACACGGCCAAGAAAGGUAAGCACUCGUCAGUUGCAGCCGGGCCCGGUCAUUUGAUGGCUCCGUCAGGGCCAUCUGUGAGCUUUAGCCCAGGUAUGGCUUCACAGGGUUUGAACCCAGCAAUUGGGCAAGCCUUGACUGCAUUGAUUGCCUCUCAAGGAGCUGGGUUGGGACUUGGUAAUCUGCUUGGAGGACUAGGUGCUGGACCAGUGAACCAGGGAGUACCUCCUGCUGGAUAUGGAGCUCAGGCUGGCGGCUAUGGGAACCAACCAGCGAUGCAGGGUGGCUACAACCCACAGAUGAACCCUCAUGUGGGCCAGACUGGCGCUGGCAGAUCUCAACAGGGCAGUGCUCCUUAUAUGUGACAUUAGUGUGAAAUAGUUAUUCUCUGUCUACUCCAAACUAUUUCAGCCUGUUUUACUAAUUGGGUGAGGGGAUUUCAUCAAGAAAAUCCAUCAACAUCAAGAGUAGGAACUUCAUGUCUAUUAAUAUUUCUAACAUUAAGGUUUGAAGUGCUUUCAUCUGGAAACUUUGCACACUGCUUUGGGAAGCUUUGCUUUCACAAGCCAUGGAUUCCUGGCCCUGCCCUGCCCUGCUUUGCGUACUGUGCCAUUGGUGUGCUGCAUUACUUUCCAUUCUGCCUCCAAGAUGAGAUAAAUCUUUUGAAGUUGGCUGUUGGAACUGAACAGCUUUCUGGUUGUCAUGAAAUUGAAGUGAUCUUGUGAUUGUCUGCAUUUUUUUGGUCUAGAAAGGUUAUACUGGAGAUCUAUUAGUUCAUUGAACUGGUAUUCAUUUGCUGACACAUUCAAUUGGCCCUCUAAACCGUAUAAAAGUUAAGCAAAUCACUAUAUAUGAGCUUGAGCUUUUGUUCAUUCAACUUGUUGGCUCCUUGUUCUGGGUUCACGGUGUUAACUUGCUUGCCUGAAUUAUGAUUCGUUCCAUUAUUAAACAGUGAGUUUUUUUUUGGCUCUCUGAGAUGUGAGAUGUGCACUGUUCUGUCUAGAUUUGGGAUCUGAAGGGGGACAUGUUAUGGUUACAGGGGCAUUUUUUAUUUAUUUUUUCUUAAAUUCCUUUCUUUUAUGCACGUCAAUAGCUAUUCUGAUAAGUUUUGUCCAUAAAAAGAUAAAAGAUGACAGAGUCCAAUGGUUUACUGAUAGUUUUCUGUAGGUGUUUGUUGAAAUUUAAUUGCAGUGUAAAGUGUGAUAGAGAGUGCAGAGAAGAUGAUUGAUUUUUGGCAGUUAA